UACAGAGGUCCCAAGCGUUGUUCGGAUUCACUGGGCGUAAAGGGUGCGUAGGCGGUCGGGUAAGUCUGAUGUGAAAUCUCACAGCUUAACUGUGAAACUGCAUUGGAUACUAUUCGGCUUGAGAGUUGGAGGGGGACUGGAAUUCUUGGUGUAGCAGUGAAAUGCGUAGAUAUCAAGAGGAACACCAGUGGCGAAGGCGAGUCCCUGGACAACUUCUGACGCUGGAGGAGCGAAAGCGUGGGGAGCGAACAGG
rnacentral:rRNA from 1 species